rnacentral:rRNA from 1 species
AUUGAACGCUGGCGGCAUGCUUUACACAUGCAAGUCGAACGGCAGCGCGGGCUUCGGCCUGGCGGCGAGUGGCGAACGGGUGAGUAAUGCAUCGGAACGUGCCCAGUAGUGGGGGAUAGCCCGGCGAAAGCCGGAUUAAUACCGCAUACGACCUGAGGGUGAAAGCGGGGGACCGAAAGGCCUCGCGCUAUUGGAGCGGCCGAUGUCGGAUUAGCUAGUUGGUGGGGUAAAGGCUUACCAAGGCGACGAUCCGUAGCUGGUCUGAGAGGACGACCAGCCACACUGGGACUGAGACACGGCCCAGACUCCUACGGGAGGCAGCAGUGGGGAAUUUUGGACAAUGGGGGCAAGCCUGAUCCAGCCAUGCCGCGUGCGGGAAGAAGGCCUUCGGGUUGUAAACCGCUUUUGUUCGGGAAGAAAUCAUCUGGGCUAAUCCCCCGGGGGGAUGACGGUACCGGAAGAAUAAGCACCGGCUAACUACGUG